rnacentral:rRNA from 1 species
GGGGAAUUUUCCGCAAUGGGCGAAAGCCUGACGGAGCAAUGCCGCGUGGAGGAAGAAAGCCUGUGGGUCGUAAACUCCUUUUCUCAGAGAAGAAGUUCUGACGGUAUCUGAGGAAUAAGCAUCGGCUAACUCCGUGCCAGCAGCCGCGGUAAUACGGAGGAUGCAAGCGUUAUCCGGAAUCAUUGGGCGUAAAGCGUCCUGAGGUGGGUUGUCCAGUCUACUGUGAAAGCUCAGGGCUUAACCUUGAAAAUGCGGUAGAAACUAGCAAGCUAGAGUACAGUAGGGGCAGAGGGAAUUCCCGGUGUAGCGGUGAAAUGCAUAGAUAUCGGGAAGAACACCAAUGGCGAAAGCACUCUGCUGGGCUGAUACUGACACUGAAAGACGAAAGCUAGGGGAGCAAAAGGGAUUAGAUACCCCAGUAGUC